GGGUGCGAUCAUACCAGCAGUACUGCACCGAAUCCCAUCAGAACUUCGAAGUCAAACGUGCUUGGGCGAGAGCAGUACUAGGAUGGGUGACCUCAUGGGGGAAGUCCUUGUGUUGCACCCC